GACGAACGCUGGCGGCGUGCUUAACACAUGCAAGUCGAGCGGAGCGGCGAACGGGUGAGUAACGCGUGAGUAACUGCCCCCCUCUCUGGGAUAACAGAUGGAAACGGCUGCUAAUACCGGACAGUGGGGGAUGACUCGCGUCCAAUCAGCUUGUUGGUGGGGUAGUGGCCAACCAAGGCGACGACGGGUAGCCGGCCUGAGAGGGCGACCGGACACAUUGGGCUGGGAUAGGGCCCAAACGCCUACGGGAGGCAGCAGGGGGGAAUAUUGCACAAUGGGGGAAACCCUGAGGCAGCAACGCCGCGGGCGGGAGGACGGUCUUCGGGUUGGAAACCGCUUGCAGCCAUGACGCGGUAGUGGCAGAAGAAGCACCGGCUAACUACGUGCCAGCAGCCGCGGUAAUUC
rnacentral:rRNA from 1 species